UAGGGANUCUUCCACAAUGGGCGCAAGCCUGAUGGAGCAACACCGCGUGAGUGAAGAAGGGUUUCGGCUCGUAAAGCUCUGUUGUUAAAGAAGAACACGUAUGAGAGUAACUGUUCAUACGUUGACGGUAUUUAACCAGAAAGUCACGGCUAACUACGUGCCAGCAGCCGCGGUAAUACGUAGGUGGCAAGCGUUAUCCGGAUUUAUUGGGCGUAAAGAGAGUGCAGGCGGUUUUCUAAGUCUGAUGUGAAAGCCUUCGGCUUAACCGGAGAAGUGCAUCGGAAACUGGAUAACUUGAGUGCAGAAGAGGGUAGUGGAACUCCAUGUGUAGCGGUAGAAUGCGUAGAUAUAUGGAAGAACACCAGUGGCGAAGGCGGCUACCUGGUCUGCAACUGACGCUGAGACUCGAAAGCAUGGGUAGCGAACAGGAUUAGAUACCCUGGUAGUCCAUGCCGUAAACGAUGAGUGCUAGGUGUUGGAGGGUUUCCGCCCUUCAGUGCCGGAGCUAACGCAUUAAGCACUCCGCCUGGGGAGUACGACCGCAAGGUUG
rnacentral:rRNA from 1 species